AUUGGGUUCCAUCCUGGUGGUGGUCCUUGGCUGACCCGCCCUUUCAGCUCCGAGAGCCUCAAUUUGCAUCUCUAUAUCAGGGAGACUAUUUUUGACUGAGAUGGAAAUCAGAAUUUUCCUGUGUUCUAGCUUUAGGGCUGUGUGUAUCUUUGCAAAGUUUUAAGAAAUCUUUUUACAAAGGCUUCAGCAGGCUUUCCUUUUCCUCUGGGUACAGAGCUUCAUUUAAGCCCAGGGGAGAAGGCCGAAAAACUUCCCGUCAAGUUCUGAUGAUCAGUUUUCAGUGCGGCCUCCUUCCGACCAUAGAGCUACACUAAAAACAAUCCUUUUGAAUAUCUCAAUGGUCCUCAGCUGAGACAAACAGUAAAUGCUGCUGACCAUAUUGAACAACCCUUCCAUAUAAGGGGCACCCUCAAAAAAUGUGCAACAAAUAUGGCCCUCCCAAGAUCCAGAGCCACUCUCAAAGAUAACCAAAAGAGAGAAAGACGAAUUUUCCUGAGAGCUGGCAACCGCCAGUAGGGCACACUGAGAGCAACCUGCUCUUCUGCAUGGCCAUGUUUUGGGCCCAAGCCUGACAGGUGCCAAGCCAAGUUCUUAAGACACAAAAUGAGACAAACAGGAAGGCAGCAGCUGUACCCAGGAGAGAAAGGAUUCACAGCCAGUGGGUACCUAAAAGCAAAUCCUUGCGGCAAAGAUUCAAAGGUCUAAUUCUUCGAUUCUUUUUUGCCUGCCAAUCUGAACUUGGAAAGGAAGGGACAAAGUAGAAUUUCAUCUCCCUCUCUCACCAGACACCGCAGAUGGAGAUCUGGGAAAGCUGAUUUUGGUCGGACCUGGUCCGGAAGAAGGAACUCUCAGAUGAAGUCUGAAAGCUCCUAAUGUAAAAGUUGCGGAUCCAUGAGGAUCCUCCCAGCGUGUCCAGAGGCAGCAGGAAAACGGCGGAGCUCUUGGGACUCACAGAAACUCCCCACUGGACCCGGGUUAUCUAAAUACAAGUUACUUAUUUGAUUGGCAUUUGCUCUCGUCAGUUUCGCAAACUCGAGGGAUCACACGCUGAGUAAAUAAUCCAUAGACCAUGAUCUGCUGUCCUGUCAGGCUUGUUAGCCAGACUCGAGCCCCCAGCGUCGGAAACCUGCCCGAGGAGCGUUCCCAGGUAGGCUUCUUAACUACCUCCCCCCCUGGCUACCAUCAUCGCCGCUUACAGACUUCGAGAACUCCCUGGUAGCACACUGACUAUAUUUGGGAGAACUAAUUGGUGGUUCUGGUGUCUUUGUUAGGAAAAAGUGACACUUUUUGAAGUUAAUAAAAAUCUCUUCGGCUACAGCCUUUUAUCAGAUGUAACAAAACAUUGUUUGAACAAAUAUGCUCUCAGUAGUAGUGACAGUUCAUUUCUGCUCUUCCUUGCCAUCAACAUCCCGCGAAGGAAAGCUGUAGAAGUUCCUUAAAGGCGUAAAAUUAGUUUUUGAGUA